rnacentral:rRNA from 1 species
GGGGACUGAGACACGGCCCUUACUCCUACGGGAGGCAGCAGUGGGGAAUAUUGGACAAUGGACCAAAGUCUGAUCCAGCAAUUCUGUGUGCACGAUGAAGUUUUUCGGAAUGUAAAGUGCUUUCAGUUGGGAAGAAGAAAGUGACGGUACCAACAGAAGAAGCGACGGCUAAAUACGUGCCAGCAGCCGCGGUAAUACGUAUGUCGCAAGCGUUAUCCGGAUUUAUUGGGCGUAAAGCGCGUCUAGGCGGUUUGGUAAGUCUGAUGUGAAAAUGCGGGGCUCAACUCCGUAUUGCGUUGGAAACUGCCAAACUAGAGUACUGGAGAGGUAGGCGGAACUACAAGUGUAGAGGUGAAAUUCGUAGAUAUUUGUAGGAAUGCCGAUGGGGAAGCCAGCCUACUGGACAGAUACUGACGCUAAAGCGCGAAAGC